AGCUUUAUGACAUAUUAAUAUAAAGUAUUUUCUGCCCGGUGAAUAAAAUUUUAACGGCCGCAGUACCUUGACUGUGCUAAGGUAGCAUAAUAAAUUGACUUUUAAUUGAAGUCUAGAAUGAAUGAAAAAAUGAAAAAAAUCUGUCUUAUUAUAAUUAUCUUUAAUUUAUUUUAUAAGGUGAAAAUACCUUUAAUUUUAAAUAAAAGACGAGAAGACCCUUAGAAUUUUUAUAAAUAAUCAUUUUAUGAUUUUUUUUUUGUUGGGGUGACAAAGUAACAAAUAAUAUAUAUUUAACUUACAGUUUUCUUACAAGCCGAAUUAAUAUUAUGAAAGAAAAAAUUACCUUAGGGAUAACAGCAUAAUUUUUUUUAAAGAUUGUGACCUCGAUGUUGGACUAGGAACUUUAUAAUUAGUAAUUAAAUGAGAUGGUUCUGUUCGAACUUUUUUUUCCU
rnacentral:rRNA from 1 species